AACCCCAUUGACUGGAAGGAAUCCCUUCCGGUCAAUGAGGUUGUUACACCUCAUCACUAUCAACAUUGACCAGAAGGAAUCCCUUCCGGUCAAUGGAGUU
rnacentral:miRNA from 1 species